UUAAGCGACUAAGCGUACACGGUGGAUGCCCUGGCAGUCAGAGGCGAUGAAGGACGUGCUAAUCUGCGAAAAGCGUCGGUAAGGUGAUAUGAACCGUUACAGCCGGCGAUGUCCGAAUGGGGAAACCCAGUGCAAUUCGUUGCACUAUCGUUAACUGAAUACAUAGGUUAACGAGGCGAACCGGGGGAACUGAAACAUCUAAGUACCCCGAGGAAAAGAAAUCAACCGAGAUUCCCCCAGUAGCGGCGAGCGAACGGGGAGCAGCCCAGAGUCUGAAUCAGCUUGUGUGUUAGUGGAACGGUCUGGAAAGUCCGACGGUACAGGGUGAUAGUCCCGUACACCAAAAUGCACAGGCUGUGAACUCGAAGAGUAGGGCGGGACACGUGGUAUCCUGUCUGAAUAUGGGGGGACCAUCCUCCAAGGCUAAAUACUCCUGACUGACCGAUAGUGAACCAGUACCGUGAGGGAAAGGCGAAAAGAACCCCGGCGAGGGGAGUGAAAAAGAACCUGAAACCGUGUACGUACAAGCAGUGGGAGCACCUUCGGGUGUGACUGCGUACCUUUUGUAUAAUGGGUCAGCGACUUAUAUUCUGUAGCAAGGUUAACCGUAUAGGGGAGCCGCAGGGAAACCGAGUCUUAACUGGGCGUUAAGUUGCAGGGUAUAGACCCGAAACCCGGUGAUCUAGCCAUGGGCAGGUUGAAGGUUGGGUAACACUAACUGGAGGACCGAACCGACUAAUGUUGAAAAAUUAGCGGAUGACUUGUGGCUGGGGGUGAAAGGCCAAUCAAACCGGGAGAUAGCUGGUUCUCCCCGAAAGCUAUUUAGGUAGCGCCUCGUGAACUCAUCUUCGGGGGUAGAGCACUGUUUCGGCUAGGGGGUCAUCCCGACUUACCAACCCGAUGCAAACUACGAAUACCGAAGAAUGUUAUCACGGGAGACACACGGCGGGUGCUAACGUCCGUCGUGAAGAGGGAAACAACCCAGACCGCCAGCUAAGGUCCCAAAGUCAUGGUUAAGUGGGAAACGAUGUGGGAAGGCACAGACAGCCAGGAUGUUGGCUUAGAAGCAGCCAUCAUUUAAAGAAAGCGUAAUAGCUCACUGGUCGAGUCGGCCUGCGCGGAAGAUGUAACGGGGCUAAACCAUGCACCGAAGCUGCGGCAGCGACACUAUGUGUUGUUGGGUAGGGGAGCGUUCUGUAAGCCUGCGAAGGUGUGCUGUGAGGCAUGCUGGAGGUAUCAGAAGUGCGAAUGCUGACAUAAGUAACGAUAAAGCGGGUGAAAAGCCCGCUCGCCGGAAGACCAAGGGUUCCUGUCCAACGUUAAUCGGGGCAGGGUGAGUCGACCCCUAAGGCGAGGCCGAAAGGCGUAGUCGAUGGGAAACAGGUUAAUAUUCCUGUACUUGGUGUUACUGCGAAGGGGGGACGGAGAAGGCUAUGUUAGCCGGGCGACGGUUGUCCCGGUUUAAGCAUGUAGGCUGAUUGUCCAGGCAAAUCCGGAUAAUCAAGGCUGAGGUGUGAUGACGAGGCACUACGGUGCUGAAGUAACAAAUGCCCUGCUUCCAGGAAAAGCCUCUAAGCAUCAGGUAACAUCAAAUCGUACCCCAAACCGACACAGGUGGUCAGGUAGAGAAUACCAAGGCGCUUGAGAGAACUCGGGUGAAGGAACUAGGCAAAAUGGUGCCGUAACUUCGGGAGAAGGCACGCUGGUGUGUAGGUGAAGUCCCUGCGGAUGGAGCUGAGACCAGUCGAAGAUACCAGCUGGCUGCAACUGUUUAUUAAAAACACAGCACUGUGCAAACACGAAAGUGGACGUAUACGGUGUGACGCCUGCCCGGUGCCGGAAGGUUAAUUGAUGGGGUUAUCCGUAAGGAGAAGCUCUUGAUCGAAGCCCCGGUAAACGGCGGCCGUAACUAUAACGGUCCUAAGGUAGCGAAAUUCCUUGUCGGGUAAGUUCCGACCUGCACGAAUGGCGUAAUGAUGGCCAGGCUGUCUCCACCCGAGACUCAGUGAAAUUGAACUCGCUGUGAAGAUGCAGUGUACCCGCGGCAAGACGGAAAGACCCCGUGAACCUUUACUAUAGCUUGACACUGAACAUUGAGCCUUGAUGUGUAGGAUAGGUGGGAGGCUUUGAAGCGUGGACGCCAGUCUGCGUGGAGCCAACCUUGAAAUACCACCCUUUAAUGUUUGAUGUUCUAACGUUGGCCCCUGACCGGGGUUGCGGACAGUGUCUGGUGGGUAGUUUGACUGGGGCGGUCUCCUCCCAAAGCGUAACGGAGGAGCACGAAGGUUAGCUAAUCCUGGUCGGACAUCAGGAGGUUAGUGCAAUGGCAUAAGCUAGCUUGACUGCGAGCGUGACGGCGCGAGCAGGUGCGAAAGCAGGUCAUAGUGAUCCGGUGGUUCUGAAUGGAAGGGCCAUCGCUCAACGGAUAAAAGGUACUCCGGGGAUAACAGGCUGAUACCGCCCAAGAGUUCAUAUCGACGGCGGUGUUUGGCACCUCGAUGUCGGCUCAUCACAUCCUGGGGCUGAAGUAGGUCCCAAGGGUAUGGCUGUUCGCCAUUUAAAGUGGUACGCGAGCUGGGUUUAGAACGUCGUGAGACAGUUCGGUCCCUAUCUGCCGUGGGCGCUGGAGAAUUGAGGGGGGCUGCUCCUAGUACGAGAGGACCGGAGUGGACGCAUCACUGGUGUUCGGGUUGUCAUGCCAAUGGCACUGCCCGGUAGCUAAAUGCGGAAGAGAUAAGUGCUGAAAGCAUCUAAGCACGAAACUUGCCCCGAGAUG
rnacentral:rRNA from 1 species